rnacentral:rRNA from 1 species
CAGCAGUGGGGAAUAUUGCACAAUGGGGGAAACCCUGAUGCAGCGACGCCGCGUGGAGGAAGAAGGUCUUCGGAUUGUAAACUCCUGUUGUUGAGGAAGAUAAUGACGGUACUCAACAAGGAAGUGACGGCUAACUACGUGCCAGCAGCCGCGGUAAAACGUAGGUCACAAGCGUUGUCCGGAAUUACUGGGUGUAAAGGGAGCGCAGGCGGGAAGACAAGUUGGAAGUGAAAUCCAUGGGCUCAACCCAUGAACUGCUUUCAAAACUGUUUUUCUUGAGUAGUGCAGAGGUAGGCGGAAUUCCCGGUGUAGCGGUGGAAUGCGUAGAUAUCGGGAGGAACACCAGUGGCGAAGGCGGCCUACUGGGCACCAACUGACGCUGAGGCUCGAAAGUGUGGGUAGCAAACAGGAUUAGAUACCCUGGUAGUCCACACCGUAAACGAUGAUUACUAGGUGUUGGAGGAUUGACCCCUUCAGUGCCGCAGUUAACACAAUAAGUAAUCCACCUGGGGAGUACGACCGCAAGGUUGAAACUCAAAGGAAUUGACGGGGGCCCGCACAAGCAGUGGAGUAUGUGGUUUAAUUCGACGCAACGCGAAGAACCUUACCAAGUCUUGACAUCCUGCGACGAUGCUAGAAAUAGUAUUUUCCUUCGGGACGCAGAGACAGGUGGUGCAUGGUUGUCGUCAGCUCGUGUCGUGAGAUGUUGGGUUAAGUCCCGCAACGAGCGCAACCCUUAUGGUCAGUUACUACGCAAGAGGACUCUGGCCAGACUGCCGUUGACAAAACGGAGGAAGGUGGGGAUGACGUCAAAUCAUCAUGCCCUUUAUGACUUGGGCUACACACGUACUACAAUGGCGUUAAACAAAGAGAAGCAAGACCGCGAGGUGGAGCAAAACUCAGAAACAACGUCCCAGUUCGGACUGCAGGCUGCAACUCGCCUGCACGAAGUCGGAAUUGCUAGUAAUCGUGGAUCAGCAUGCCACGGUGAAUACGUUCCCGGGCCUUGUACACACCGCCCGUCACACCAUGAGAGCCGGGGGGACCCGAAGUCGGUAGUCUAACCGCAAGGAGGACGCCGCCGAAGGUAAAACUGGUGAUUGGGGUGAAGUCGUAACAAGGUAGCCGUAGGAGAACCUGCGGCUG